AUCCUGAUUAUAUGAAACUCAGAUGUGAAAGGUUGAUAUUUAAUUUCUAGAUGCUUUUUGGGGCAGCAUUGUUUAUUUAUGUGUAGUUUAAAUAAGGCGAUAUGAGCAAUAGUAAAUUUUCUAGGCUUCAACAUCUAUUAUUAAAUCCAAUGUUUAGCCUAUUUAUUUUAUAAAAUAGGUCCACCCAAUUGGUCUUUAACUGGUCCUCUGAGCAGUGACUGGGAAUGCAUAACGAAUUAAUUUGUCAUUCUAUCCACGCUUAACAGAAAGAAGUUAGACCUUGUCAAUAUUAACAGGAUGUUCCUUGUUGAAUCUCAGAGAUAUUGCUGGAAAUGGGCAUGAUCCUGCAAAGAUGAAAAAAAGCAAAACAGGACACAAGAGAAAAGGAGGUGGAGCAUUCCUGACUGCUGGGAAUACUUCAGUGCUGGUGCUACUGGCAAGAACUUGAGGCAAAGAAGGCACGUCAGUUUUCUUGUGGUUAUAGCUUCCUACUAGAGAGCCUGAAAAACUGUCUGGUGGCAGUCCUUCAAAGCCUGCUAGCUUCCUAAGGCUGUGAGCAGACAUAAUUUGUUGACAGCUCCAAAGGGCCACCCUUCUCUGCUCUCUGCAGGCCAAACUAAUUUUUGAAUAAUUUCUUGUUACACGGCUAGGAGUAUGACACCACUUCACUGUUUGAACAAUCAUUCUAAAGACUGAGAAGACGCUAUGGCUAGCUAUCUCAAUGUGCAAGC
rnacentral:lncRNA from 1 species